rnacentral:rRNA from 1 species
CACGUAGGGCGCAAGCGUUGUCCGGAAUUAUUGGGCGUAAAGAGCUCGUAGGCGGUCUGUUACGUCUGCUGUGAAAACCCAGGGCUUAACCCUGGGCUUGCAGUGGAUACGGGCAGACUAGAGGCAGGUAGGGGAGAAUGGAAUUCCCGGUGUAGCGGUGAAAUGCGCAGAUAUCGGAAGGAACACCGGUGGCGAAGGCGGUUCUCUGGGCCUGACCUGACGCUGAGGAGCGAAAGCGUGGGGAGCGAACAGG